rnacentral:rRNA from 1 species
GUUGAACGCUGGCGGCAUGCCUAACACAUGCAAGUCGAACGGGGCAGCAAUGCCUAGUGGCGGACGGGUGAGGAAUACGUAGGAAUCUGCCCUUAAGUGGGGGAUAACCAGGGGAAACCCUGACUAAUACCGCAUGAUCUCUUCGGAGCAAAGAGGGGGACCGCAAGGCCUCUCGCUUCUGGAUGAGCCUACGUCUGAUUAGCUAGUUGGUAGGGUAAAGGCCUACCAAGGCGACGAUCAGUAGCUGGUCUGAGAGGAUGAUCAGUCACACCGGAACUGAGACACGGUCCGGACUCCUACGGGAGGCAGCAGUGGGGAAUAUUGGACAAUGGGCGCAAGCCUGAUCCAGCAAUGCCGCGUGUGUGAAGAAGGCCUUCGGGUUGUAAAGCACUUUAGCCUGGAAAGAAAAAACUUUGGUUAACACCCAAAGUCUUGACGGUACCAGGAGAAUAAGCACCGGUUAACUCUGUGCCAGCAGCCGCUGUAAUAC